CACGUAGGGGCCAAGCGUUGUCCGGAAUUAUUGGGCGUAAAGAGCUCGUAGGCGGUUUGUCGCGUCUGCUGUGAAAACCCGAGGCUCAACCUCGGGCCUGCAGUGGGUACGGGCAGACUAGAGUGCGGUAGGGGAGAUUGGAAUUCCUGGUGUAGCGGUGGAAUGCGCAGAUAUCAGGAGGAACACCAAUGGCGAAGGCAGAUCUCUGGGCCGUAACUGACGCUGAGGAGCGAAAGCAUGGGGAGCGAACAGG
rnacentral:rRNA from 1 species